GCCGGGUGCGGUGGCUCACACCUGUAAUCCCAGCACUUCGGGAGGCCGAGGUGGGUGGAUCACCUGAGGUCAGGAGUUCGAGACCAGCCUGGCCAACAUGGUGAAACCCCAUCUCUA
rnacentral:SRP_RNA from 1 species